AACGAACGCUGGCGGCGUGCCUAACACAUGCAAGUCGAGGGAGAAAGUCCGCAAGGAUGAGUAAACCGGCGAACGGGUGCGUAACACGUGGAUAACCUACCUUCCUGACUGGGAUAACUGGCCGAAAGGCUUGCUAAUACCAGAUAAGCCCACGGGCGCUUUGGCGCCUGAGGGAAAAGGUGGCCUCUGCAAGCAAGCUAUCGCAGGGAGAUGAGUCCGCGGCCCAUCAGCUAGUUGGCGGGGUAAAAGCCCACCAAGGCUACGACGGGUAGCUGGUCUGAGAGGAUGAUCAGCCACACUGGAACUGAGACACGGUCCAGACUCCUACGGGAGGCAGCAGUGGGGAAUCUCGCGCAAUGGGCGAAAGCCUGACGCAGCAACGCCGCGUGUGUGAUGAAGGUCUUCGGAUCGUAAAGCACUGUCGCGAGGGAAGAUACGCCAUCGGCUAACAUCCGGUGGCUGAGACGGUACCUCGAGAGGAAGCACCGGCUAACUCUGUGCCAGCCGCCGCGGUAAAAC
rnacentral:rRNA from 1 species